CAACUUUCAACAAUGGAUCUCUUGGUUCUCGCAUCGAUGAAGAACGCARCGAAUUGCGAUAUGUAAUGUGAAUUGCANAAUUCAGUGAAUCAUCGAAUCUUUGAACGCACAUUGCACCCUCAGGUCUUUUCCAGAGGGUAUGCCUGUUUGAGUGUCAUUA
rnacentral:rRNA from 1 species